UUAAGACUGCUUUGGGAUCUAGUAACCCAUCUGCCCUCCGUGAAACUGUUGUUGAAGUACCAAAUGUCAGUUGGGAUGAUAUUGGUGGGCUGGAAAAUGUCAAGAGGGAA